UACGGAGGGUGCGAGCGUUAAUCGGAAUUACUGGGCGUAAAGCGCGCGUAGGCGGUCUGAUCAGCCGGUUGUGAAAGCCCCGGGCUCAACCUGGGAACGGCAUCCGGAACUGUCAGGCUAGAGUGCAGGAGAGGAAGGUAGAAUUCCCGGUGUAGCGGUGAAAUGCGUAGAGAUCGGGAGGAAUACCAGUGGCGAAGGCGGGUAACUGGACUGCAACUGACGCUGAGGCGCGAAAGUGUGGGGAGCAAACAGGAUUAGAUACCCCUGUAGUCCCU
rnacentral:rRNA from 1 species